rnacentral:rRNA from 1 species
ACGGGUGAGUAAUGUCUGGNGAUCUGCCCGAUGGAGGGGGAUAACCACUGGAAACGGUGGCUAAUACCGCAUAACGUCGCAAGACCAAAGUGGGGGACCUUCGGGCCUCACACCAUCGGAUGAACCCAGAUGGGAUUAGCUAGUAGGUGGGGUAAUGGCUCACCUAGGCGACGAUCCCUAGCUGGUCUGAGAGGAUGACCAGCCACACUGGAACUGGGACACGGUCCAGACUCCUACGGGAGGCAGCAGUGGGGAAUAUUGCACAAUGGGCGCAAGCCUGAUGCAGCCAUGCCGCGUGUGUGAAGAAGGCCUUCGGGUUGUAAAGCACUUUCAGCGAGGAGGAAGGUGGUGAGCUUAAUACGCUCAUCAAUUGACGUUACUCGCAGAAGAAGCACCGGCUAACUCCGUGCCAGCAGCCGCGGUAAUACGGAGGGUGCAAGCGUUAAUCGGAAUUACUGGGCGUAAAGCGCACGCAGGCGGUUUGUUAAGUCAGAUGUGAAAUCCCCGAGCUUAACUUGGGAACUGCAUUUGAAACUGGCAGGCUAGAGUCUCGUAGAGGGGGGUAGAAUUCCAGGUGUAGCGGUGAAAUGCGUAGAGAUCUGGAGGAAUACCGGUGGCGAAGGCGGCCCCCUGGACGAAGACUGACGCUCAGGUGCGAAAGCGUGGGGAGCAAACAGGAUUAGAUACCCUGGUAGUCCACGCCGUAAACGAUGUCGAUUUGGAGGCUGUGCCCUUGAGGCGUGGCUUCCGGAGCUAACGCGUUAAAUCGACCGCCUGGGGAGUACGGCCGCAAGGUUAAGACUCAAAUGAAUUGACGGGGGCCCGCACAAGCGGUGGAGCAUGUGGUUUAAUUCGAUGCAACGCGAAGAGCCUUACCUACUCUUGACAUCCAGAGA